GAGGGGGAUCAGCAGGUUCAGCUCCACCUUGACCAAGAGAUAAUGAGUGAGGUCAAUGUGUGAGGUCACACACACACACAGGUCACACACAGAGGUCACACACACACACAGAGGUCAGUCACACAAACAGGUCAGUCACACAAACAGGUCAGACACACACACACACAGGUCACACAUACACAGGUCACACACACACAGGUCAGUCACACAAACAGGUCAGUCACACACAGAGGUCACACACACACACACAGGUCAGUCACAUACACAGGUCACACACACAGGUCAGUCACACAAACAGGUCAGACACACACAGAGGUCACACACACACACACAGGUCACACACACACAGGUCAGACACACACACAGAGGUGACACACUGUGGUCCCUGUAAUUUGUGUCUUUACUUGUGUGGACGGCUGGAACCAUUCGAGCUGCUUUGACAUGACGUUGAAGUGGAGCGGGGGUGGAGUCCUG